CAGUUGAGUUGAGCAUACAUUUCAUUGGAAACGCGACGUGAUCCUGUGGUGUUGUUCUGCUCUUUAAGUCACUGUCUUUGCAACAUGUAUCACCAGCCAGUCUUAAAAAACCGUCGAACGCUCUUAGAGCGGGCAGAGAAAUUUAUUUCAGACGUGUAUUUUACAGACUGCAACCUGAGGGGCAGGCUCUAUGGUGCUACGUUUCCAGUGAGGUCCCUUUCUGUAUUCUCAACUCCAAAUCGGAUUCCUUUCUCAGAAGCUGAACAGCAGAUUUUCCAGCCAGCUAAAGUUGGUGAUGGCUAUGGACUCACCUGGUGGACUUGUUGGUUUAAAGUUUGUCUUAGUAUUCCAGAUGAAUGGCAUGGGAAAGAGGUUCACUUCUUGUGGGAAAGUGAUGGAGAGGGUAUGGUAUGGUGUGAUGGGCAGCCAGUUCAGGGAUUAACUAAGGAAGGUAGCAAGACAAGCUAUGUUUUAUCUCGAAGCCUUAAAGAAAAUGAAACUCACAACAUUACCUUAUAUGUGGAGCUGGCAUGUAAUGGUUUGUUCGGGGCAGGGAAGGGAUCAAUGAUUGCACCUCCUGACCCUGACAGGAAAUUCUUUGUUCAAAAGGCAGAGCUUGCAGUUUUUAAUUCUACUGUUAAUGACCUGUUAGUGGAUUUUGAGAUGCUGAUUGACACCGUAAAGUUGCUUGGGGAGAAUGACCAGCGUGGAUAUCAGGCACUUUAUGUUGCCAAUGAAAUGGUGAAUGUGUGUGAUGUCAAAAAUCCCAACACAUUCUCUGCAGCUCGCAAGCUUGCCAAGAAAUUUUUCAGUGAGAAGAAUGGGGAUAGUCAACACACAGUCCAUGCUAUGGGCCACUGUCACAUUGACACAGCAUGGCUUUGGCCUUAUGAAGAGACAGUUCGUAAGUGUGCUCGCAGUUGGGUGACAGCUAUCCGUCUGAUGGAAGAAAACCCUAGCUUCAUAUUUACCUGCUCCCAGGCACAGCAGUUUGCAUGGGUGAAGAAUUGGUACCCAGGGUUGUACUCAAGAAUUCAACACUUUGUCAGGAGACAACAGUUUGUACCUGUUGGUGGGACCUGGGUUGAAAUGGAUGGCAACUUGCCUUCUGGAGAGUCUAUGGUCAGACAGUUCCUAGAGGGUCAGAGAUUUUUCCAUCAGGAGUUUGGAAAAUACUGCACCGAGUUCUGGUUACCGGAUACAUUUGGCUACUCUGCUCAGCUACCUCAGAUAAUGCAAAAUUGUGGAAUAACCAGGUUCCUAACUCAGAAACUCAGCUGGAACUUAGUAAACACCUUUCCUCACAACACUUUUUUUUGGGAAGGCAUUGAUGGGUCCAAAGUUCUAACCCACUUUCCUCCUGGCAACUCCUAUGAGAUGAAGUGUAAAGUGGAAGAUUUGCUAAAUACAGUGAGGAAUAACAAGGACAAAGGGAGAGCCAAUCACAGUGCAUUGUUGUUUGGAUUUGGGGAUGGAGGUGGGGGUCCAACGCAGGGAAUGUUGGACCGGCUGGAGCGGGUGAUGGACACUGAUGGAUUGCCCAGAGUCCAAAUAUCCAGCCCUGAUAAGCUUUUUACUGCCUUAGAAGCUAACACUUCCCUUCUGUGCAGCUGGACAGGAGAGCUUUUCUUGGAGCUGCAUAAUGGCACAUAUACAACUCAAGCUCAGAUAAAGCUUGGCAACAGACAGUGUGAAACUUUACUUCAUGAUAUUGAAGUAGCAAGCACUCUGGCUUUGAUAAGAGACAAGAACUUUCUCUACCCUUUGGACCGAUUACACCAUCUCUGGAGAUUAUUACUGCUCAAUCAGUUCCAUGAUGUCAUUCCAGGCAGUUGCAUUAAGUUGGUGGUUGAGGAUGCAAUUAAAUACUAUAAUGAGAUUCGAAAUACUGGUUCUGCUCUGUUGAAGGAAGCACUUCAGGCACUUCUGCCACACAAUCUAGAGAAAAGCUGUCAUGUGGUAUUUAACAGUAUGCCGUGGGAGCGCACUGAAGUCAUCUCAGUACCAGGAGGCAGUGCUGAACCAUUGCUUGCAUUAGUGAAGGUCCCAAGUAUUGGAAUUGCUUCUGUGGAGGAGUCUGUUGAACCAGGCUGUUCUGUUACGGUAUCAACACAGGCUGAUGACAGUGUGAUCCUGGACAAUGGAAUUCUGCGCCUUAUUGUCAACAGGAAUGGAUGUGUCAUAUCUUUGUGCUUGAUUGAUUCUAACAGAGAAGCCAUUUUGAAUGGAUGCAGUGGAAACCAGUUUGUUAUUUUUGAUGACAUUCCUCUUUACUGGGAUGCCUGGGAUGUGAUGGAUUACCAUUUACAGACCAGGAAACCGGUCACUGAGAUAAUUGAGCCAGUGAGGAUUGAGAGUUCUGGAGGUCUGCGGGGCAGUGUCACUUUCUCACUGCGUAUUGGUGAAGCUAGCAAGCUUUUUCAGGAGAUUAUUCUUGAUGCUCAGUGCCCUUAUGUCAAAUUUCGUACAAAGGUAGAUUGGAAAGAAGCACAUAAGUUCUUGAAAGUGGAGUUUCCAGUGCAAGUUCACAGUGCCAAUGCCACAUAUGAGAUACAGUUUGGCCAUCUGCAGAGACCAACACACUGGAACACCUCGUGGGACUGGGCCAGGUUUGAGGUGUGGGGUCACAAAUGGGCGGAUGUGUCUGAACAUGGAUUUGGAGUAGCGUUACUGAAUGACUGCAAAUAUGGGUACUCCGUGCACAGGAAUACACUCACCCUGUCCUUUCAUUACAGAUUAUAUUCACCCCCAUGAGAGUUAAGUAUGAAAGCUAACCUUGGUGUUUAGGUGGAAGAGGAAACAACAUCAGAUUUACAUGAAGUGGCUUGAGCUGUAUACCACGCUAUGUUUGUCCUGAAGCUCUCAUUUCAUCUGCAGAACAGAUUGAUAAGCAUUAUUAAAAACAACCUUAUGUGCAUCAUGCAUACCAUAGCAAGUAAUUUUAGAAAACUGGCAAAGCUACUUGUGGUUUCUGUAUGAAUGAGCUUGUAAAGUGUGACAGGAUGUCAGUAAGAUCAGUAGACAUGUCGAUGACCUGCACGGAUGACAUUGCCUUCAGGCUGCAUUUCAGCUUUUGCACAUGCAUAUUAUCACAGUGCAAUCUCAAAGCCAAGAGGUACAUGACAGCAAAACUCCACUUGAAAGUUACAUCAAGUGCCAAGAGGCAAUAUCUUUAUAAAUUGUGGGCAAUGAAGAAACUCUAAGAAGCUGUAGUUUCAUUACAUACAUUUGUACCCUGAAACAAACACUUACAGGAAUUGAAAGAGGUGUGCUAUUGGCAAGCAAGGACAUAUAUGGCAGGCUGCAGAAGAAGCUUCCUGCAUUCUGUAUAUGAACCUUGGACAGCUAUGUCUUUGUGCCAGGAGCUGACAUAGUAAAGGGGGUGUUGUGGCCUUUUCAAAUAUUGUCUGACCUGAGUCACGUGCUUUUUUGACUUGCUGUGCAACAUGUGCAUUUCAGGUUACGAGCACCAAAGUCUCCUGACGCCACGGCUGACAUUGGAUGGCAUGAGUUCACUUAUGCUGUGAUGCCUCAUCAAGGCUCUUUUCAGGAAGCUGGCGUUAUCCAGUGUGCAUACAACAUGAACUUUCCCCUUCAUUGUGUACC